GAUGAACGCCGGCGGCGUGCCUAAUACAUGCAAGUCGAGCGAACAGACGAGGAGCUUGCUCCUCUGACGUUAGCGGCGGACGGGUGAGUAACACGUGGAUAACCUACCUAUAAGACUGGGAUAACUUCGGGAAACCGGAGCUAAUACCGGAUAAUAUAUUGAACCGCAUGGUUCAAUAGUGAAAGACGGUUUUGCUGUCACUUAUAGAUGGAUCCGCGCCGCAUUAGCUAGUUGGUAAGGUAACGGCUUACCAAGGCGACGAUGCGUAGCCGACCUGAGAGGGUGAUCGGCCACACUGGAACUGAGACACGGUCCAGACUCCUACGGGAGGCAGCAGUAGGGAAUCUUCCGCAAUGGGCGAAAGCCUGACGGAGCAACGCCGCGUGAGUGAUGAAGGUCUUCGGAUCGUAAAACUCUGUUAUUAGGAAAGAACAAAUGUGUAAGUAACUAUGCACGUCUUGACGGUACCUAAUCAGAAAGCCACGGCUAACUACGUG
rnacentral:rRNA from 1 species